UACGGAGGGGGUUAGCGUUGUUCGGAAUACUGGGCGUAAAGCGCGCGUAGGCGGACUAUUAAGUCGAGGGUGAAAUCCCGGGGCUCAACCCCGGAACUGCCUUCGAUACUGGUAGUCUUGAGUUCGAGAGAGGUGAGUGGAAUUCCGAGUGUAGAGGUGAAAUUCGUAGAUAUUCGGAGGAACACCAGUGGCGAAGGCGGCCUCUGGCCUAAUAUUGACGCUGAGGUGCGAAAGCGUGGGGAGCAAACAGGAUUAGAUACCCGGGUAGUCC
rnacentral:rRNA from 1 species